rnacentral:rRNA from 1 species
UACGUAGGGUGCAAGUGUUAAUCGGAAUUACUGGGCGUAAAGCGUGCGCAGGCGGUUAUGCAAGACAGAUGUGAAAUCCCCGGGCUCAACCUGGGAACUGCAUUUGUGACUGCAUGGCUAGAGUACGGUAGAGGGGGAUGGAAUUCCGCGUGUAGCAGUGAAAUGCGUAGAUAUGCGGAGGAACACCGAUGGCGAAGGCAAUCCCCUGGACCUGUACUGACGCUCAUGCACGAAAGCGUGGGGAGCAAACAGG